UCUCCGUAGGUGAACCUGCGGAGGGAUCAUUACUGAGUGAGGGCCUCUGGCCCGACCUCCAACCCUUUGAUGUCCGACUCUGUUGCCUCGGGGGCGACCCGGCCUUCGGGCCCGGGGCCCCCCGUGGUCCACUCAACUCUGCAUCUUUGCGUCUGAGUAAACAUUAAAUGAAACAAAACUUUCAACAACGGAUCUCUUGGUUCUG
rnacentral:misc_RNA from 1 species